rnacentral:rRNA from 1 species
UACAGAGGGUGCUAGCGUUGUUCGGAAUCAUUGGGCGUAAAGGGCGUGUAGGCGGUUUGUUAAGUCAUGUGUGAAAUCCCUCGGCUCAACCGGGGAACGACGCAUGAAACUGGCAAGCUAGAGUACCAAAGAGGGGGGUGGAAUUCCCGGUGUAGCGGUGAAAUGCGUAGAUAUCGGGAAGAACACCCGUGGCGAAGGCGACGUGCUGGGCUGUUUCUGACGCUGAGAUGCGAAAGUGUGGGGAGCAAACGGG